rnacentral:rRNA from 1 species
CCUACGGGAGGCAGCAGUGGGGAAUAUUGGGCAAUGGGCGCAAGCCUGACCCAGCAACGCCGCGUGAAGGAAGAAGGCUUUCGGGUUGUAAACUUCUUUUCUCAGGGACGAAGAAAGUGACGGUACCUGAUGAAUAAGUCACGGCUAACUACGUGCCAGCAGCCGCGGUAAUACGUAGGUGGCAAGCGUUAUCCGGAUUUAUUGGGUGUAAAGGGCGUGUAGGCGGGAGCGUAAGUCAGAUGUGAAAACUUAGGGCUCAACCCUGAGCCUGCAUUUGAAACUGUGUUUCUUGAGUGCUGGAGAGGGAAGCGGAAUUCCGGGUGUAGCGGUGAAAUGCGUAGAUAUACGGAGGAACACCAGUGGCGAAGGCGGAUUGCUGGACAGUAACUGACGCUGAGGCGCGAAAGCGUGGGGAGCAAACAGGAUUAGAUACCCGAGUAGUC